rnacentral:lncRNA from 1 species
GGAGGAGAGGAGACAAAAUGUUGGCAUAUAAUAAGAAGUAAACCUUCAGCUGUAUGCUGAUUUAUUUUAGUUCGUAUAAUCAACUCCAUCUUGACAAUAGCUAACAUCCCCCAUGGCCUCUAUUGUUUGCUGAGCUUUGUCAUUUGUUUUCUGCUAAAAAUGCUAUAACUGUAAUAUUAUGAGCCCGUGGCUAACAAGCAUAAGUUAUGAUCACAGAUACAGUGCAACAUAAAACACCAUUUCCUUUUACAGUCCCUCUCAGAAUGGUUAGAGGGGAUGAUGUCCUUCUGUUGUAAUGUGUUGUUGAAGGCUUUCAUUGCUGGAAACACAGGGUUGUUGUGUGUUUUCCAGGCUGUAUGGCCAUGUUCCAGAAGUAUUCUCUCCUGACGUUUUGCCCACAUCUAUGGCAGGCAUCCUCUGAGGUUGUGAGAUAUAUGAAGAAACUAAGCAAGGAAGGUUUAUAUAUCUGUGGAAGUAAUAAAAAAGUACUUUGAACAUCAUUAUUCAAUGCACGCUAUUGCAGAACUAUUUAAGGACGGGCCUCAAACGACAAAAGCAGGUGUUUAUCUUUAAUCUUAUUUGAGGGCGACUUUAUUUUCCUUCUAAAUGGAGUUAACAAUGUGAACUCUAAAUGUCGCUUGUAGGCCAUCAAGACAGUGACUAUUACUGGCGGUUCUAAAACUGGAAUGAUUUAUUGCUGUCACAUAUAAUAUAUAUGUGGGUUGUGUUUUCUUUUAGGUGAGUCUCCGAUGACUUGGGCUUAAAAUACCAACCUGUGAGCAAAAAAUGAAGAGAAUGCAUACUAAAGCAGCUGGUAAAGUAUGCUUCCCUUACACCAAAGUGCUGAUACCAAUGGAAAUGGGGCACCUGACUAGACUGAGAGAAAGAUAUUCACUGAAAACAAACAAGAUGAUGAAUUGACACAAGGCACAGGUAUGGCUCUUCAUUAGUAAAAAAAAAAUACAGUACAUACCUCCAGCGAAAAAUGCCUUUGUUUGUUGUUAGCUGGCAACCCUAUGAAUGAGAGACUUCCAAGUCACCCAAUCUUCACCAGUUCUGCU